rnacentral:rRNA from 1 species
CCGUGCUUGCACGGUUGGAUUAGUGGCGAACGGGUGAGUAUCACGUGAGUAACCUUCCCUUAACUCUGGGAUAAGCCCGGGAAACUGGGUCUAAUACCGGAUACGACCAGUCCUCGCAUGGGGUGCUGGUGGAAAGAUUUAUCGGUUUUGGAUGGACUCGCGGCCUAUCAGCUUGUUGGUGAGGUAAUGGCUCACCAAGGCGAUGACGGGUAGCCGGCCUGAGAGGGUGACCGGCCACACUGGGACUGAGACACGGCCCAGACUCCUACGGGAGGCAGCAGUGGGGAAUAUUGCACAAUGGGCGAAAGCCUGAUGCAGCGACGCCGCGUGCGGGAUGACGGCCUUCGGGUUGUAAACCGCUUUCAGCAGGGAAGAAGCGAAAGUGACGGUACCUGCAGAAGAAGCGCCGGCUAACUACGUGCCAGCAGCCGCGGUAAUACGUAGGGCGCGAGCGUUAUCCGGAAUUAUUGGGCGUAAAGAGCUCGUAGGCGGUUUGUCACGUCUGCUGUGAAAGCCCGGGGCUCAACCCCGGGUGUGCAGUGGGUACGGGCAGACUAGAGUGCAGUAGGGGAGACUGGAAUUCCUGGUGUAGCGGUGAAAUGCGCAGAUAUCAGGAGGAACACCGAUGGCGAAGGCAGGUCUCUGGGCUGUUACUGACGCUGAGGAGCGAAAGCAUGGGGAGCGAACAGGAUUAGAUACCCUGGUAGUCCAUGCCGUAAACGUUGGGCACUAGGUGUGGGGAACAUUCCACGUUUUCCGCGCCGUAGCUAACGCAUUAAGUGCCCCGCCUGGGGAGUACGGCCGCAAGGCUAAAACUCAAAGGAAUUGACGGGGNGCCCGCACAAGCGGCGGAGCAUGCGGAUUAAUUCGAUGCAACGCGAAGAACCUUACCAAGGCUUGACAUGGACCGGACCGCUGCA